GUAGGGAAUCUUCCACAAUGGGCGCAAGCCUGAUGGAGCAACACCGCGUGAGUGAAGAAGGGUUUCGGCUCGUAAAGCUCUGUUGUUAGAGAAGAACGUGCGUGAGAGCAACUGUUCACGCAGUGACGGUAUCUAACCAGAAAGUCACGGCUAACUACGUGCCAGCAGCCGCGGUAAUACGUAGGUGGCAAGCGUUAUCCGGAUUUAUUGGGCGUAAAGCGAGCGCAGGCGGUUUGAUAAGUCUGAUUGGAAAGCCUUUGGCUUAACCAAAGAAGUGCAUCGGAAACUGUCAGACUUGAGUGCAGAAGAGGACAGUGGAACUCCAUGUGUAGCGGUGGAAUGCGUAGAUAUAUGGAAGAACACCAGUGGCGAAGGCGGCUUACUGGACUGUAACUGACGCUGAGGCGCGAAAGUGUGGGGAGCAAACAGGAUUAGAAACCCCGGUAGUC
rnacentral:rRNA from 1 species